GACUGUUGAUCCUUGGAUCCUUGGAUCCUUUAGAGGCUGCCAGUCAGAAGCAGAAAGUGACAUCAUUGUCCUCACAGCAAGAAGGGCAGGAGAUGCCUUGCCAGUCACCAAAAGGCCGUUCACACCUGGAGAUGCUGAGGCAUGAAACGAGGCAUGAAACGAGGCCCUGCCAAUCACGAGCAAGCAUACGGCAGCGCAUGAUAAAAAAUGUGGAUGGAAUCUUUCAAUCAAUGAAGGGGCUGAUGAAAAACCUGCAUCAGCUUAGGGAGAUUGAAGCAGACCACUGUAGACUGCUCACAAUGGUGAGAAAAAAGUCACCUGUCAGUCAGUUCAGAUGACACCAUCCAUGGGUCUUCCUCCAUUAUCAGGACACCAUCUAUUUAUCUUGGGUCGAGCGAUGGUAACGAAGAAGGGCCAACAGAACCAGUUCAGCCCAAGAUCCAUUCUACAGGAUUUUGAUUUAUUACACGAGACAUUGUAAAGAGUUUUACUUACACAUUUGAAACAUGAACACACACAUACUAAGGGUGUGGCAUUCCUGCCAUUUCAUACAUCCUGUGUAGCUCUUUACUAGAAUCCCAGCAUGCCUUUCUCCUGGGAGAAACCUGCAAAUAUUGUAUUGUCUGCAACUGAGAAGAGAGACAGGACAGACGAACCUUCAGCUCAUGCACCGAGUUGGAAUAAAAAGCAUUCAAAUGAAAGUCCAGAUAUGUGAGGUGUUUUUUUUUUAUUAGGUAAAGCUAAAGUUGGAACAAGGGAACUGAGGUGACAGUUUAAAAAAAAAAAUUAGUCAAUGAAGAUGAAGAAAUGGAACUAAAAUGAGACUGAAAAUGUAUGGCUGAGGAAAUGAAUCUGCCCAUUAAAGGGACCCCCCCCAAGCACUUUACCCAAUACAUGUAUGUUAAUACUCACUCACGUCAUCAGUGACAAACUGGCAACCUAACAGGUGCCAUUUUGCUCGAGGACCCAUAAUCAGCCCAUGUCAACUUGACCCAAGAUUGUGGCUCUCUUCGCCUUAUGGAAUGUGUGGAUGGGUGACUUAAACAAAUUCAGGUUCUUUUUCACUGGGACCCCUGCAAGACACAUGGGCUCCAAGAGAGUAUUUUGCAUUAAUAUCAUCAUAUGUCUAUGUUGUAUCCUUUAUUUUAUAAAUUAACACUAUGCGAGAGCAAAGA